AAUUAAAUAAAUACUUAUAUAAAAUAAUACAUAAAUUUAAAUACAUUUAUCCGAAACCGCUAAUCAAAUCAGAAAAAAAACAAAAUUAAAAUUGAACUAAAUUCCAGAAAUAACCGACCAAAUCAAAUAUAUUUGGAACCGGUAGUAGCAAUGUUUUAUUUAAGAUAUAAGUAACGUUUUCUAUCCAGUUUGAACCCGCGGUGGAACCGAUAAAUUUAGUGGCUGUAUAUAAUAUGGAUUGGUCUAUAUUAUUCAUGUAGCAUUCUAAAUUUGGUGGCUGUUUUAACAUUUUAGUUUAAACGCCUAUACAUUAUUUUGUUUGUAUAAUACUAUAAGUACAUAUUUUCAUUCAAAGUAUGUGAGUUUUUAUUUUGGUAUAGUCUAAUAUAAAAGAGAUUUUGAAAAUGAUAUGAGUAUUUAGUUAGUAUUGAUAUUAUAAAGUAGAUAACUUGUGUUUUCUUUAGUAAAAUUUAAUAAAGAUAUGGAUUGUCAGCUAUAAUGAAAUUGAAUUUUUCUUAUCCUAUAUUUAUAUCUUAGUCACCUUAUAAUGAUACACAAGAUUUUGAUUAUAAGGUGUUGUUACGGUUGGUAACCAAUAAUUGAAUAUGUGGGAAAAAUAUUAAUUGGAAUAUAUAAUUUAGGCUCAAGGCUUUAAGUCGACAACAAACUUUUUAAAUUUAAAAUUUCAGUACCAAUUGAAAUUGUUGUUAUUUGUUUAGUGUCCAAAAAUAUAUAAUGAUGCAAAUAUUUAGGAAUAAAUCAAUAAAUGACGGUCGCCAUAUAUAGAUAGUGUAGGUGGUCUAAUUAGCAUUACCCAUUUUAUAUUUAAUGAAUUUUUAAUUGUUAGACAAAAUCAUAACAACACAAAAAAAUAAAAUUCCUAAGUAGAAUAAGGGCAAUCUAAAACAUAUCUUGUUUUAAUUGUAUUGAUCAGAUGAAACAAAUAUAGUUAAACCAUUUAAUUUGUUAAGCAUUGACUGAAUUAUUUUAGAGAAAUAUAAUGUAACAUAUUAUUAGUAGAAAUUUUAGGUAAGACCAAAAUAUUAUUAGUUAAUGAAAGGGUCCAACAACUUUGAAUAAAUAGAUUUUUUAUUACUCAUUCUCUUUUAAUAGUAUUGAUGAUAGAUCCACGGUUUUUAACCGUCUGCAAUUUGUUAAUUGCUUAUAUAGUAGUGACUACAUAUAAAACCAAUGAAAAUGAUAUGGUAUUUAACAUAUUCGUAAAUUAAUAAAUAUUUAACUACAGUAACCCUUUUGAUGUAUUUAUAUAUAAAUUAAAACACCAAUUAUUAUGUUUAUAUAUAUUACUAAAUAUAUCUUUGUAAAUAAAAUAUUUUAUGUCAAAUAAAAUAUACUUAAGUUUUAGUAAGAUAAAUAGAUAUGUCUCUAAGUUUUUAGAUGUCAAAUAAAUAAAACUUCAAUGAUUAUUUUUGAAGAAAAUAUUAAAUUAAAAUUUAUUUGUUGUAUUCUUAUAAUUUAGAUAUAUCUAUAUAAAUUAUAAUAAUCAUCAAAUUAUUUGACCUAUAUUUGAAAAAUGGCUUUAUAUGUUUUAAUAAAACAUUUAUAAUUUAUAUUUUGUAUUUGAAAUGAAAUAAUGAUGAUGAUAUCCAUGAAUAUAUAGCAUUUAAAGUUUAUCUCACAUUAUAAAUAAAUUUGUUUAAUAUUAUUGUAAAAUUUGGUUAGAGAAUAAUCUGGUCUUAAAAUAAGUUUGGUAAAUUUGGUUGGAUAAGAAUCUAACAAAAAUAAAUAAUUUAUGGUUAAUUAAUUAAUAGUUAUUAGUUCAGUGACAUAAAGACGUAGGAGUUGUUAUUGUUAUUAAGAAAAGUGAAUGGUUAUUUAUAAAAGAUCAUUCGGUUUUAAUAGAAUUGAAGCGUUAAGCAUGCGGAAACUUUUUAUUUUUUGAGAAAAAAACAUGCGAGAAUUUUCAGAAACGAAAUACUUAUAACUGGUUAUUAACUACCAGAUAUAACAUCAAUUUGAAAAUAAACUUUAUAUUUAUAAAAAUAUCAAUUCAUGUUAUUACAAUAGAAUGUUUCAUAUCUUUUUGUUAAUUUAAUAUAAUUAGUACUAUUUUAUUAUAUUUUAAAAAUUCUUUAGUUUAACAAAUAUAUAAAGUUAACAAAUAAAUUAUUUUACAGAAUUAAUAUUAUAUUAGAAAAAUAUUUUAUUCAUUUAUUAUAGUAGUUAAUGUAAUUAUACUGAAAAACUUUCGUAAAAGUAAACUCGGCAACUUUUUACGAAAAAAUUCAAAUAUCAUUGAUGUAAUAAAAAUAUUUUUGUUUUUUUAUUUUUAUUGUUUCCUAAAAUUUUAUAUUCGCAAAUGCUUGUAAUUAUAAAUGUGAGAGGUAAUAAAUUUUUGACAGCGAAUUGAAACGGUUGACAUUAUUUAUAAUUGUUAUCAACAUUUAACAACCAACUAGAUUUUGACCCGCGCUUGGAAAGCGCGGGUUUGUUUUUGAAAUUAAUUUUUAAACAAAUUUCUAUAUAAAAUAAUGUAUAGGUUUGAGUACAUUUAGCAGGAACCGCAAACCAAACUGAAAAAAAUGAAAACAAAAUUUAACUAAACUUUAUAAAUAACCGAGCAGAUUAUAAAUCUCUAAAACCGAAAAACUGAAACGAACUGAGAACCAAAUGGAUACCUAAAUUUUAAAAAUAUAAAUUAUACUUAAAAAUAUUAAUUAUAUUUAAUUUAUAAAUAACCAAAUAUCUGAAAAUACUAUUUACAAACCGAAUUACCUAAAAAAAAAACAAAUUA